UACGUAGGUCCCGAGCGUUGUCCGGAUUUAUUGGGCGUAAAGCGAGCGCAGGUGGUUUAAUAAGUCUGAUGUAAAAGGCAGUGGCUCAACCAUUGUGUGCAUUGGAAACUGUUAGACUUGAGUGCAGAAGGGGAGAGUGGAAUUCCAUGUGUAGCGGUGAAAUGCGUAGAUAUAUGGAGGAACACCGGUGGCGAAAGCGGCUCUCUGGUCUGUAACUGACGCUGAGGCUCGAAAGCGUGGGGAGCGAACAGG
rnacentral:rRNA from 1 species